rnacentral:lncRNA from 1 species
CCCGGCGAACCAUGCCCUCGCCGGGCCACGGAGGGUUGCCGGGAAAGCCUUGCAGAGAAGGGGAUCUGAUGCUCCGUGGAGGAGCAUAAGGGUCCUGAAACUCUCGACGUGAUCCCGCGGGUCCGCCGCCCCGUCAUAGGGCUCGAUCGCCGGCAUUUUGAACCCCGGCGGAUUCGGGGUCCGCAGGAUCCUCGAGGCGAGCGCCGGCUGGGAGGAGAUCUCUAAGUCGGC